rnacentral:lncRNA from 1 species
UAUCUUUAUUUCUCUCCUUAUUGGGGCACUUUGGCCUUUUGGCUACAACAUUGGUAUUGUGUACACCAUCUUACAACAUCUAUUAUUUUGGGAUAGAGGGAGUAUGCACAUUAGAGCAUCUCCAAGAGUUUAUAAAACCCACUCCCAAUCUUGAUUUUUUGGUAAGGUUGAAAAAAUGCUCUCCAUCAACUCCCUAUCUGAACUCCUAAUCUUUCCGCACUUGAAAAAUCUAUCCGACCACACAACAUGCGCUUAUUUGUCUGCCAAUCUGGAGGUGGAAGAACGUGAGAACGAAUAAAGAGAAGAACAUAUUUCACAAAAAAAAAGAGAAGGACACAAAAUUUCUAAUAUAAAUAUACAAGAGAGAAAGAAAAUAUAAAAGUGGUUGAUGUGACUUGAAAUAGUGCCGG